GGUUUCGAUGAAGUUUUCGGAUGGAUUUGAAAUCGACUUAGCGGCGGACGGGUGAGUAACGCGUGGGUAACCUGCCUUACACUGGGGGAUAACAGUUAGAAAUGACUGCUAAUACCGCAUAAGCGCACAGGGCCGCAUGGUCUGGUGUGAAAAACUCCGGUGGUGUAAGAUGGACCCGCGUCUGAUUAGGUAGUUGGUGGGGUAACGGCCCACCAAGCCGACGAUCAGUAGCCGACCUGAGAGGGUGACCGGCCACAUUGGGACUGAGACACGGCCCAAACUCCUACGGGAGGCAGCAGUGGGGAAUAUUGGACAAUGGGCGAAAGCCUGAUCCAGCGACGCCGCGUGAGUGAAGAAGUAUUUCGGUAUGUAAAGCUCUAUCAGCAGGGAAGAAAAUGACGGUACCUGACUAAGAAGCCCCGGCUAACUACGUGCCAGCAGCCGCGGUAAUACGUAGGGGGCAAGCGUUAUCCGGAUUUACUGGGUGUAAAGGGAGCGUAGACGGUUAAGCAAGUCUGAAGUGAAAGCCCGGGGCUCAACCCCGGUACUGCUUUGGAAACUGUUUGACUUGAGUGCAGGAGAGGUAAGUGGAAUUCCUAGUGUAGCGGUGAAAUGCGUAGAUAUUAGGAGGAACACCAGUGGCGAAGGCGGCUUACUGGACUGUAACUGACGUUGAGGCUCGAAAGCGUGNGGAGCAAACAGGAUUAGAUACCCUGGUAGUC
rnacentral:rRNA from 1 species